CUGGCGGCGUGCCUAAUACAUGCAAGUCGAACGGUCUUUUCUAUGGAAGCUUGCUUCCACUGAGAAGAUAGUGGCGAACGGGUGAGUAACACGUGGGUAACCUGCCCAUAAGAGGGGGGAUAACAUCCGGAAACGGGUGCUAAUACCGCAUAGUUUUCUUGAUCGCAUGAUCGGGAAAGGAAAGACGGCCUUUGUGCUGUCGCUUAUGGAUGGACCCGCGGCGUAUUAGUUAGUUGGUGAGGUAACGGCUCACCAAGACGGUGAUACGUAGCCGACCUGAGAGGGUGAUCGGCCACAUUGGGACUGAGACACGGCCCAAACUCCUACGGGAGGCAGCAGUAGGGAAUCUUCCGCAAUGGACGAAAGUCUGACGGAGCAACGCCGCGUGAGUGAAGAAAGGUUUUCGGAUCGUAAAACUCUGUUGUCAGAGAAGAACAAGUUGGAGAGUAACUGCUCCAGCCUUGACGGUAUCUGACCAGAAAGCCACGGCUAACUACGUGCCAGCCGCCGC
rnacentral:rRNA from 1 species